CUGUUUUCAUCUGCUUGAAGAGUGACUUUGAAGAUGUUGGAGAAAACUCAGACUUGUCUGACUCUGACCCAGAGAUUGUUAUUAAAAGGCCCUCUGAGUUUGAUCUUGCUGAUACAUUGCCAUGGGAACUUCAACAUGACAGCAGUCCUUUACAGAAAGCAGCAGAAUAUGAGUAAGUGAUAUUUGAAGAACAUGUAAUCUUUUACUGUUUUUUGCCUACACUUUGUAUUAAUGAGAUAUACACUUUUGUCAUUCAUUCUGUAUAUGGUUUUUGGAACAUGGACUACAUAAUACUUGUAUUGCUUGUUUGUUAAUCAAGAUGCUUAAAUAUUUUCAAAGUGUCAAUUAAUAUUUUCACAGUACACAACAAAAAUGCUUUUCUUUGUUCUCUAAGGAAGGGUGCUGGGGAUCUUGUGCUUGCUAAUGAAGUACAACAGGUAAAAAACUAUUUUAUUAGUAAAACAGUGCAGCAGACAAUCUCCACCGCCUUUACUUUGCAAUUAGAUAACGAUUCACUGUUUGCUGAGCCCCCAGAAGAACCUGUGUUAGUAAUUUAAACAUUUGAAUCCAAUUAACUGCCAUCUUGUUCUAU
ensembl:lncRNA